GACGAACGCUGGCGGCGUGCUUAACGCAUGCAAGUCAAACGAUGAGCCCGGAGCUUGCUCCGGCGGAUUAGUGGCGAACGGGUGAGUAACACGUGAGUAACCUGCCCUUGACUCUGGGAUAACUGCUAGAAAUGGUAGCUAAUACCGGAUACGACCCUCGGUGGCAUCACCAGGGGGUGGAAAGAAUUUCGGUCAAGGAUGGACUCGCGGCCUAUCAGCUAGUUGGUGAGGUAACGGCUCACCAAGGCGACGACGGGUAGCCGGCCUGAGAGGGGGACCGGCCACACUGGGACUGAGACACGGCCCAGACUCCUACGGGAGGCAGCAGUGGGGAAUAUUGCACAAUGGGCGCAAGCCUGAUGCAGCAACGCCGCGUGAGGGAUGACGGCCUUCGGGUUGUAAACCUCUUUUAGUAGGGAAGAAGCGAAAGUGACGGUACCUGCAGAAAAAGCACCGGCUAACUACGUGCCAGCCGCCGCCGUAA
rnacentral:rRNA from 1 species